AGGAAGCACACUUAGGUCAUAGAUUAAGCCAUGCAAGUGUUAGUUCAGGGAAACGAAACUGCGAACAGCUCAGUAAUACGCUGAGAAUCUAAUUGGCAGCGACCAUCAGGUUUUAGUUGGAUAGCAGCAGUAAUUCUGGUGCUAAUACAUGCAAUUGUUCCAUCGGAAGUGAAGUACGAAGGAAAAGUUGACCGAGAGGCAAGCCAUUCGAUUGAGCGACCUAUCAGCUUGUACUUAGGGUCUUUACCUAGGUAGGCUAUCACGGGUAACGGGCGGUUACCGUCGGACUGCCGGAGAAGGCGCCUGAGAGAUAGCGACUAUAUCUACGGGUAGCAGCAGGCGCGAAACUUACCCACUCGAGACGUUCGGAGGUGGUAAUGACGAGUUUCAAGUCAGCUCCAUACGGGGUUGCUUGAAUAGGAUUACACAUUUCCAGUGUAGUGAAACCUAGCAGAGGGCCAGUCUGGUGCCAGCAGCUGCGGUAAUUCCAGCUCUGCGAGUUUGCUCCCAUGUUGUUGCAGUUAAAACGCCCGUAGUCUGAAGUACGAAGUUUGAGCGGCCACAAACCGCGUUCACUGUGAACAAAUCAGGACGCUUAGUGUAAGGUUACAAGAAUGACACAGCGCAGUAUGAAAUCUUUACCGAAGGUAAGAUCAACGAGAGCCAUCGGGGGUAGAUCUAUUUCAUGGCGAGCGGUGGAAUGCUAUAACCCAUGAGAGAGAAACGAAGGCGAAGGCGUCUACCUAGCGGGUUUCUGUCGAUCAAGGGCGAGAGUAGGAGUAUCGAACCGGAUUAGAGACCCGGGUAGUUCCUACCUUAAACGAUGCCGACAGGGGCUUAUCCUCAGUAGAGGGUAGGAUCCUAGGAGAAAUCAUAGUUCUUGGGCUCUGGGGGAACUACGACCGCAAGGCUGAAACUUGAAGGAAUUGACGGAAGGGCACACCAGGGGUGGAGCUUGUGGCUUAAUUUGAAUCAACACGGGGAAACUUACCAGGACCAGAUGUUUUAUAGGACUGACAGGCUUAAGGUCUUUCAGGAUUUGACUAUUGGUGGCGCAUGGCCGUUGGUGGUGCGUGGGUUGACCUGUCUAGCGUUGAUUCAGAUAACGAGCGAGAUUACCACCAAUUACUAGUUCUGUCUUGCGCAGAAAGCAUGGUCUGAAUUGGGACUCCCUGCGUCUAAGCAGGAGGAGGAAGGUAGCAAUAACAGGUCCGUGAUGUCCUUUAGAUGCCCUGGGCUGCACGCGCGCUACAAUGUGAGGAUCAAAGAGUUACUGUCCACGACAGGGUAAGUUACUCUGAUAAAACCUCACGUACCUGGGAUUGGUGGUUGUAAUCAGCACCAUGAACCAGGAAUCCCUUGUAAGCGUGUGUCAACAACGCACGUUGAAUACGUCCCUGCCCUUUGUACACACCGCCCGUCGCUCCUACCGAUGGAUGAUUCGGUGAAAUCACUAGAGGGUACGCUCGAAGGUGAUUAAACCAUAUUAUCUAGA
rnacentral:rRNA from 1 species